rnacentral:sRNA from 1 species
GUAGGAUCUCACAUGAAUCCACUUCGUCGCCGACCACCUUCUCGCCUUCUAUGACAGGGCAGCUUCCGUGCAGGCUGUCUGUGUCCAACGUCGCGUUGGGGUGGAGACUGAAGAACAGCACAGCACUGCCUUUGGCAGGUUUCACUGCCAAACAAAAUCCAAGCAUUGUUGCAAGUGAAUAAAUCAAAAGUGCAUAAUGAGCCCAGCUAAAUGAUCUCUGCUGGAGUUGCUCGUAGCGAAUGCAUUGCAAUUUGUAACAGAUUUUUUGUCUGCCUUGGCAAGUGUCAACCAUACCUGCGAAGCCCUGUUCUGCGCAGUCGGACCAUGUCUCGUCUUUAGGCUGUGACAACCUAGCCUGUGGGAGAAGAGAAUCUGUGUAAAUUACACCCACCGCUCCAGGAAAAACUAACUUCCGAGAAUGAAUCUGGACAAACGCUAAUCUAAAUUCAUUUCAAAAGGUGUUUUUUUGGGUGGAGAGAGUACCUCUCAAUCAGGGAAGAUGGUCUCACCACCCAUCUUGACAUUGGACAGGUACAUGAGCACAGUGGCAACCCGGUCACCUUCACGAGUUGAGCCUUGCCGUCCGCUAAUGUAAUCAAAGUGUGGCUCGUAUUUCUCACCUUGCCCGUAACGUAGUAUUUGCAUCGAUUCACCGUUUUCUGACACAUGGUCCAAGCCGCAAUCCUCUCCUCUAUUCUUGCAACAACUUCAUCCUUCAGAUAAAUAAAAAAAUUUGAGGGGUCAGAAGCAAUUUUAACUACGACAGAUCACAGAUGUGCUGGCAAAUCACUGCAAGUCUCUUUACACCAACCCUGGUAGCCUCACCUGCUUCUUGUCGAGGAACAUGCCGGAGCUGGUCCUCACCUUGCUCGUCACGCUCUCCCCCGACUCGCCGUCCACCACCGUCGACUUCUCCAUCUUACCCUGCUUCGCCUUCGCGAUUCACACACACACAAGACGCACCAACUCAGUGAACACACCAACACAGAUUUCCCAAGAAUAGAGGAUUUGAUUUGAUCCCAACUUACGAGCGAGAUGAGGUGGUCGCACUCCGCAUCCGACAGGAACCCCUCGUACAGGAACGCUCUGC